rnacentral:misc_RNA from 1 species
UGCGUGCAUAGACCAACCAUCUGAAGAGCCACCAUGGGAUCCCUGAGUUGAUUCGUUGCUCCAUGAGGGGACCAAGGACCUCUCUUCAGGAACUGAACAGCUGUUUGAUGACUUUAAUUCUGGGAUUUGUGUAUCAGGAACUUGCCCCAUUGACUGAUGGGGAGAAGAGUUCUCAGGCCAACUUGAAGUGGUUGAGCCAGCAGUAUGCGGAUUAAUUUGGGAUGAAAUUAGAGAUGUUAUGGAUGAAGUUGAAGGCAAUGAGAUGGAUAAUUUUGUGGGAGAUGGAUCCAAAGCUGCUGGGGAUUCUGUUGACUCCUUCACCUGUUCCAAACUUGUGUCCAUUGAGAUGUUCCUUAAUAUGGAUUGAUCUGAAGCAGAAGUCUUCACAGGUGCAGUCGUAGCUUCAGAUGACUUCUGCCUUGCACGCCUCCGAAAACUAUGUAAGGGGCUUCCAUCCUCUGAAGCAUAGGCUGAUUCACAUUUAAUAUCUGGUCCACCAUUCCCACGAUUUGCAUCUGAAAACCAAGGUAUGGAAGUCUCUUCCCCAGCUACUCGCCCUCUAUUAUCCCACCUAAAGCUCCAUGUUGGCGAACACCGAAUAUUCCUAUGCAAUAUUUCACUGCUUGUGCUUGGUCCAUUUACUAUAUUUUUGUCUCUAGCAGCAACACAACAAGCACCCCCCAUGCUAAAACACACAGUGCUGCAAAGUUCUGAUAGAAAUCCCAAAAUUUUCACUCACGUGUUCUGAUGUCCAAGCGAGUUCUGCGCCAUCACUUCCAGGAGAGGAAAAAAAAUCCAGUUGUGGUUGUCUUUCUCGAUCGGCGCCGAAAGGCCACCGUUUAAUAGAGAGAGAAUUUUU